rnacentral:rRNA from 1 species
GGCGCGCGGGCGGGGCUGGGGAAGGCGGCCCCCGGGGGGGGCGGCGCCUUUUUUUUUUUUUUUUUUUUUUUUUUUUUUUUUUGGUUUUUUUUUUCUGCUUUCCCUUCCUUUUUUUCCCCCCCCCCCCCCCCCCGGCUUACAAAUACCCUUUCCUCCCGGGGCCUCCCUAAUGGAAAGGGGGGCGGCGGGGGGACACCCGUUGCCCACCUUCCCACGAGAGGGGGUACACCUGGAACAGGGUCUAAACCGCAAAACUUUUUUCGCCCCAAGCAAAGAGAGAAACGCCUCUCGGGGUUCCGGGAAGGACGGCCCCGGGUCAUUAUAUUAGUUGGGAGAGAACCGCCUACCAAAGCCCAUAGUCCAACGCCCACUGGAGAGGUGUUCCCCCACAGGGGGGAUUGACACCCGGCCCAAUUCUCCUAGGGGGAGCACCAGUAGGAAUUCUUCGCCAAUGGAAGAAAGUCUGCCCGACCAACGCCGCGUGAGUGAAGAAGUUUUUCGGAUCGUAAAACUCUGUUGUUAGAGAAGAACAAGGACGUUAGUAACUGAACGUCCCCUGACGGUAUCUAACCAGAAAGCCACGGCUAACUACGUGCCAGCAGCCGCGGUAAUACGUAGGUGGCAAGCGUUGUCCGGAUUUAUUGGGCGUAAAGCGAGCGCAGGCGGUUUCUUAAGUCUGAUGUGAAAGCCCCCGGCUCAACCGGGGAGGGUCAUUGGAAACUGGGAGACUUGAGUGCAGAAGAGGAGAGUGGAAUUCCAUGUGUAGCGGUGAAAUGCGUAGAUAUAUGGAGGAACACCAGUGGCGAAGGCGGCUCUCUGGUCUGUAACUGACGCUGAGGCUCGAAAGCGUGGGGAGCAAACAGGAUUAGAUACCCUGGUAGUCCACGCCGUAAACGAUGAGUGCUAAGUGUUGGAGGGUUUCCGCCCUUCAGUGCUGCAGCAAACGCAUUAAGCACUCCGCCUGGGGAGUACGACCGCAAGGUUGAAACUCAAAGGAAUUGACGGGGGCCCGCACAAGCGGUGGAGCAUGUGGUUUAAUUCGAAGCAACGCGAAGAACCUUACCAGGUCUUGACAUCCUUUGACCACUCUAGAGAUAGAGCUUUCCCUUCGGGGACAAAGUGACAGGUGGUGCAUGGUUGUCGUCAGCUCGUGUCGUGAGAUGUUGGGUUAAGUCCCGCAACGAGCGCAACCCUUAUUGUUAGUUGCCAUCAUUUAGUUGGGCACUCUAGCGAGACUGCCGGUGACAAACCGGAGGAAGGUGGGGAUGACGUCAAAUCAUCAUGCCCCUUAUGACCUGGGCUACACACGUGCUACAAUGGGAAGUACAACGAGUCGCUAGACCGCGAGGUCAUGCAAAUCUCUUAAAGCUUCUCUCAGUUCGGAUUGCAGGCUGCAACUCGCCUGCAUGAAGCCGGAAUCGCUAGUAAUCGCGGAUCAGCACGCCGCGGUGAAUACGUUCCCGGGCCUUGUACACACCGCCCGUCACACCACGAGAGUUUGUAACACCCGAAGUCGGUGAGGUAACCUUUUUGGAGCCAGCCGCCUAAGGUGGGAUAGAUGAUUGGGGUGAAGUCGAACCAACGUUGCAUGGG